ACUCGAGUGGCGAACGGGUGAGUAACACGUGGGUGAUCCGCCCUGCACUUUGGGAUAAGCCUGGGAAACUGGGUCUAAUACCGAAUAGGACCACGCGCUUCAUGGUGUGUGGUGGAAAGCUUUUGCGGUGUGGGAUGGGCCCGCGGCCUAUCAGCUUGUUGGUGGGGUAAUGGCCUACCAAGGCGACGACGGGUAGCCGGCCUGAGAGGGUGACCGGCCACACUGGGACUGAGAUACGGCCCAGACUCCUACGGGAGGCAGCAGUGGGGAAUAUUGCACAAUGGGCGCAAGCCUGAUGCAGCGACGCCGCGUGAGGGAUGACGGCCUUCGGGUUGUAAACCUCUUUCAAUAGGGACGAAGCGCAAGUGACGGUACCUAUAGAAGAAGCACCGGCCAACUACGUGCCAGCAGCCGCGGUAAUACGUAGGGUGCGAGCGUUGUCCGGAAUUACUG
rnacentral:rRNA from 1 species